AGCAGCCGCGGUAAUUCCAGCUCCAAUAGCGUAUAUUAAAGUUGUUGCAGUUAAAAAGCUCGUAGUUGAAUUUCGGGAUUAGUACGCUGGUCGUGCCUUCGGUAUGUACUGGUGUUACUGGUUCCUACCUUCUGAAGAACCGUCAUGUCAUUAAUUUGGUGUGGCGGGGAAUCAGGACUGUUACUUUGAAAAAUUAGAGUGUUUAAAGCAGGCUCGCGCUUGAAUACAUUAGCAUGGAAUAAUGAAAUAGGACGUUCGAUCCUAUUUUGUUGGUUUCUAGGAUUGACGUAAUGAUUAAUAGGGAUAGUUGGGGGCAUUAGUAUUCAAUUGUCAGAGGUGAAAUUCUUGGAUUUGUUGAAGACUAACUACUGCGAAAGCAUUUGCCAAGGAUGUUUUCAUUAAUCAAGAACGAAGUUAGGGGAUCGAAGACGAUCAGCUACCGUCGUAGUC
rnacentral:rRNA from 1 species